AAUAUUGCACAAUGGGGGAAACCCUGAUGCAGCGACGCCGCGUGAGUGAAGAAGUAUUUCGGUAUGUAAAGCCCUUUCAGCAGGGAAGAAAAUGACGGUACCUGACUAAGAAGCCCCGGCUAACGACGUGCCAGCAGCCGCGGUAAAAAGCAGGGGGCCGGCGUUAUGCGGAUUCACUGGGUGUAAAGGGAGGGUAGGUGGUUUGGUAAGUCAGAUGUGAAAGCCCGGGGCUCAACCCCGGGACUGCAUUUGAAACUAUCAAACUAGAGUGCAGGAGAGGUAAGUGGAAUUCCUAGUGUAGCGGUGAAAUGCGUAGAUAUUAGGAGGAACACCAGUGGCGAAGGCGGCUUACUGGACUGUAACUGACACUGAGGCUCGAAAGCGUGGGGAGCAAACAG
rnacentral:rRNA from 1 species